GACGAACGCUGGCGGCGUGCUUAACACAUGCAAGUCGAACGGUAAGGCCCUUCGGGGUACACGAGUGGCGAACGGGUGAGUAACACGUGGGUGAUCCGCCCUGCACUUCGGGAUAAGCCUGGGAAACUGGGUCUAAUACCGGAUAGGACUCCGGACUGCAUGGUCUGGGGUGGAAAGCUUUUGCGGUGUGGGAUGGGCCCGCGGCCUAUCAGCUUGUUGGUGGGGUGAUGGCCUACCAAGGCGACGACGGGUAGCCGGCCUGGGAGGGUGACCGGCCACACUGGGACUGAGAUACGGCCCAGUCUCCUACGGGGGGCAGCAGUGGGAAGUAUUGCCCAAUGGGCGCAAGCCUGAUGCAGCGACGCCGCGUGAGGGAUGACGGCCUUCGGGUUGUAAACCUCUUUCAGCAUCGACGAAGCGAAAGUGACGGUAGGUGCAGAAGAAGGACCGGCCAACUACGUGCCAGCCGCCGCAGUAA
rnacentral:rRNA from 1 species